rnacentral:rRNA from 1 species
GAUGAACGCUGGCGGCGUGCCUAAUACAUGCAAGUCGAGCGAACAGACGAGGAGCUUGCUCCUUUGACGUUAGCGGCGGACGGGUGAGUAACACGUGGAUAACCUACCUAUAAGACUGGGAUAACUUCGGGAAACCGGAGCUAAUACCGGAUAACAUGUUGAACCGCAUGGUUCAACAGUGAAAGACGGUCUUGCUGUCACUUAUAGAUGGAUCCGCGCCGCAUUAGCUAGUUGGUAAGGUAACGGGUUACCAAGGCAACGAUGCGUAGCCGACCUGAGAGGGUGAUCGGCCACACUGGAACUGAGACACGGUCCAGACUCCUACGGGAGGCAGCAGUAGGGAAUCUUCCGCAAAGGGCGAAAGCCUGACGGAGCAACGCCGCGUGAGUGAAGAAGGUCUUCGGAUCGUAAAACUCUGUUAUUAGGGAAGAACAAAUGUGUAAGUAACUAUGCACGUCUUGACGGUACCUAAUCAGAAAGCCACGGCUAACUACGUG